GGCGAGUGGCGAACGGGUGAGUAAUAUAUCGGAACGUGCCCUGGAGUGGGGGAUAACGCAGCGAAAGUUGCGCUAAUACCGCAUACGAUCUAAGGAUGAAAGCAGGGGACCGCAAGGCCUUGUGCUCCUGGAGCGGCCGAUAUCUGAUUAGCUAGUUGGUGGGGUAAAGGCCUACCAAGGCAUCGAUCAGUAGCUGGUCUGAGAGGACGACCAGCCACACUGGAACUGAGACACGGUCCAGACUCCUACGGGAGGCAGCAGUGGGGAAUUUUGGACAAUGGGCGCAAGCCUGAUCCAGCAAUGCCGCGUGAGUGAAGAAGGCCUUCGGGUUGUAAAGCUCUUUUGUCAGGGAAGAAACGGUGUGGGCUAAUAUCCUGUACUAAUGACGGUACCUGAAGAAUAAGCACCGGCUAACUACGUGCCAGCAGCCGCGGUAAUACGUAGGGUGCAAGCGUUAAUCGGAAUUACUGGGCGUAAAGCGUGCGCAGGCGGUUUUGUAAGUCUGUCGUGAAAUCCCCGGGCUCAACCUGGGAAUUGCGAUGGAGACUGCAAGGCUAGAAUCUGGCAGAGGGGGGGUAGAAUUCCACGUGUAGCAGUGAAAUGCGUAGAGAUGUGAAGGAACACCGAUGGCGAAAGGCAGCUCCCCUGGGGUCAAGAUUUGACGCUCAUG
rnacentral:rRNA from 1 species